UGAGGGAUAUUGGGCAAUGCCCGAAAGGGUGACCCAGCAACGCCGCGUGGAGGAUGAAGGUCGUAAGAUUGUAAACUCCUGUUAGAGGGGAAGAAUAACUAAGUUUGGAGCUUAGUAUGACUGUACCCUCAGAGAAAGCCCCGGCUAACUACGUGCCAGCAGCCGCGGUAAUACGUAGGGGGCAAGCGUUGUCCGGAUUUACUGGGUGUAAAGGGCGCGCAGGCGGAAUGGAAAGUCAGUGGUGAAAUCCUACAGCUUAACUGUAGAACUGCCUUUGAUACUUUUAUUCGUGAGUUCGGGAGAGAGAGACGGAAUUCCUGGUGUAGUGGUGAAAUACGUAGAUAUCUGGAAGAACACCAGUUGCGAAGGCGGUCUCUUGGUCCGAUACUGACGCUGAUGCGCGAAAGCGU
rnacentral:rRNA from 1 species